rnacentral:misc_RNA from 1 species
CAAAUGAGCUUGACCUUUUCUCUAUAGAUGGAACCAAGUUCAUGAUAGGCGGUGAACCCGGAAAUCAAACUCAAUGUUGUGAGGUCGUCACGCUGGGUAGCGUUUGGAAAUGGCGUUUGUUUUGUUUAUUAUUAACAUUCCAAAUGAUUCAGGCGUAGUUGUGAACGCCAAGGAUGGACGGGAAGAAGAUGGAGACCUGGAGGAGAGCGUGGACCCCAAAGAGAGCGUGGACCCCAAAGAGAGCGUGGUCGAUCCGCCCUCACAAAGUGACCAACCCCGGACUGAGACUUCUUCACAGACUGUAGACGAAUCCGAGAAAACACCGGUUGUAGAGCCAGAUGCUCGACUAUCUGAGACAGACAUUGAAGUAGAUGCUGUGCCUGAUACAGAGGAAAGUGAAUGUGUGCCAGAAUCGGCUGAGAAACAAUCAGGGGAGAUAACUGGUGAAGCACAAGAACCCACAGACAAACCAGAAUCAGACAGUGUUGAAGCAGGGAGCAUAUUUGUAGAUUUUCUAGGUGAAGAUACAUUGAAAGAUAGAUUGAAAGAGACACUCAUCUCCCUACAGAUUGACAAUGCAGUCUGGCAGACAUCUCCCGAAGAAAAUAUUGUUCAGGUGUCCUUUGUUGAGGAGUCUGGACUGAGAUGUGAAGAAAUCAUCACUCGCCUUUCCAAUAUUGGUAUUGGGAGGAACCCAAACACCACCGUCAGUGUAUUUCCGACAUCAAUCCAUCUCCGCUACGAGCCAGCACCCAGUGAGGAAUCAGAGGUUCUAGAAAACUUUGAACCGAACUACAUAGCUAAGGAGGAAAAGGAACAUGAAUUCAGGGAUUCAAUCAAGUCAAGAUUGGUUGUGGCUCAGGUGGUUGAGUCAGUUCAGAGUAAUGCAAGGCUGACAUUUGAUUAUGUCAUGCUCAUCUUCCUAGCAAGCUGGAUAGCUGCUCUGGGUCUGGGAGAGAACAGUUCUGUGAUUUUAGUAGCCAGUAUGCUUAUAUCUCCACUUAUGGGUCCUAUAUUAGCAGGGAUUUUCGGCUCAGUUGUGAAGUAUGAUGACCUCAGGAACACUGGCAUCAAGUCUGAACUCAUUGGCCUGGGAAUAUGCCUUGUCUUUGAGGUGUCCAUCGAAGUCUUGCUGUAGGGCUGCUAAUUGCCAUCCCCUCGGGGGCAGGCGUGGCCCUGUCGAUCCUGGGGGGCAAUGCUGGCUCCUUGGUGGGUGUGGCCAUCUCAGCCUCUCUCCUACCCCCAGCUGUUAAUGCUGGAAUGUUGUGGGCUCUAUCAAUAACAGCUGCAAUAGCGCGCCUCCAGCCUUGGUGCAG